rnacentral:rRNA from 1 species
GAGGGAAAGUUGAAAAGCACUCUGGAGAGAGAGUCAAAAGACCGUGAAACCGCUCAGAGUAUAAGCCCAUGGCAGCUUGGAAGGCAUAUCGCUAGCGGGGCAUCGGUCUCCCUUCACGGGGAGCUGGUGUUACCUUGCUUCUGUUGUGGCUCGUCACGGUAGGGGGGUCAAGUCCACAUCCCGCCGACGUGUGGGGAGUUCUCGGGCGCGUUGGGUUUUUCGGUCGGCUUCGGUUGGCCGUUUCAGCUCUUCGCGCUUGGUUCUCUUUCAACACGGACGUUCAGACUCAGAGGCAAGACGCGAUAAACAGCCCACCACGGCACGUUGUGAGGUCACCCACAGGCUCGACUUUGGAUUGUGAUCCUUGACGCCGAGCAAGCACAAUGCGUGUCGCAGAUGUUCCUAACCCGGCGACGCCAGGAUCGUGGAACGACACGCGCUCAACAGUCAGGAUCGGGCUUUGACAGAGUUCUGGUAUGAUCCUCUUGCGACGAGCCGGCUUCUGGCCAAAUUCCGAUGCUCAGGUCUCCCGCAUGUGCCGCGGGAGAUCGCCUCGACGGUCUGGACUUGUACGAGUCCUCUCAGUCGGGCAACGGAAAGAGUGGUGUAAAGUCCAAGCCCAUCGGUCACGUCUCGAAACACGGGCC